AGGAACCACAUUUGGGUGCAACAUCCCAUAAUCCCAGUACCACUAAGGUGGAAGCAGGAUUCUGAGUUUGAGGCCAGUCUGGGUCCACAUAUAAAAUAACUUGAACACACCUACCUCUAUCAGCCACAAGCAACACAGUCUUCCAACUUCUGAGAUACUAUGCAACCUUGGCUGACCUUGAACUCACCGAGAUUAGCCCACAUCUGCUCCACAAGCCUUGGGAUUAAGGAUGUGUAUCACCACCCACAGCCUCUUUCAGCACCUUUGCCUCCCUUGCCUGUGACUACCACUGUUUCCCUUUGAAUGUUUAAAUAUUUGGGGCUGUUCUCAUCUGAAAUGCAGCAAGCACUCCCGAAUCUCUAGCAAGCUCACAGGUAGGAACCUGAGGCUCUUGGGUUGAAGAGUGAACCAGGAGGGGCAGGCCAGGUAGGUGUCUACAGGGAGCUGGCACAGGCUGUCACAGGCUGGAGUGCGUGGUAAACCUGCCAAGGUCUGCACAGCCAGUCAGUUUGAUUACCACAAACCCAGUCGUGAGCUUUAAAGACAGAAAACCAAAGAGAGGCCAUCUUCCCUACGCAUGUGUCUCCAGAAUGCAGAUCUGGCCAACAGCUUGCAAACAGUUUCCUGGGAUUCACUUUUGGUGAUAGAUUUAUUUUCUAACAAUGGCUGCAGGAGAGUACGCUGCUCUGGGAAUGGGUCCUUAGCCCUCCCUCAGCCGAGCUGACACAGCUCUGAGCAGAAUGGAAUUGUGUCUUCAAGUGUCACUCAAAUAGCAAAUCACAGAGUACUCAGAGAUGAUUGGUUGUCUUAAGCAGCGAUGUGCCGGGAUGGUUUGUAACAGAGUGUUUAUCUAUUCUUACCCUGGACCAAGUGUUUUCUCCUGGCAGGUGACAGGUCCCGCUCAAUUGGAACGGUUGUUCAUGGUUCUUCUCCAGGGCAUGCUGACCUUGUGAGUUCUGUUUCUCCGUCUGUGUGCCUAUGUCUUUGUCU
rnacentral:lncRNA from 1 species